ACCACCCGCAUGACCUUUAUUAGUUUAUUUAUUAUUGCUCGUGUCUCUGUUUAGGAGCAUUUACGCAUAAAGCAGCAGUGGUUUAUUGGUUUAUUUUUUUUGAGUUUGUAAAAAAUGAUGGUUGUUUUUAUGUCGAGACAUUGUGAUUGUGUGAUUGUGUGAUUGUGUGUUUGUGAGAUUGUGUGAUUGUGUGAUUGUGUCGCGCAGUCAUCAGGACUGUUACAGUUCAUACUACAAACUACACAAUCACACUACUGGUUGUACUGCAACUUUCCCCUUUUAGAGCAUAUUUCACGCACACACGCGCGCGCGUGCGCGCACACUCAACGACCACGCAUUCCUGUGCAAGACCAGAACACGCUCUGGACUCCGGAGGAUCUGCGACUCUUCAUGAACAUUAACUCGGGUUGAUUUGGAUUUUGCGAAGAGAGAGAGAGAGAGAGAGAGAGAGAGAGAGAGUGUGUGCGUGUACGUACGUGCGGUUUUGCCUAUCCUUUGUGAAUCGCGCAGUGUGUGUGCGCGCGUGCGUGCGUGUGUGUGUGUUCUGCGCUUCACUCGGUGUGUGUGUGUGUGUUUGUGUGUGUGUGUGUGUUUGUGUGUGGGGGGGACGCGCGUUUUCUCUCGAUCUGUGUUUUUUUCUCCUGAUGCUCGCGGCGCGCGCAGGACCGAUCAGGAUUAUUACUCGAUUAAUACAAUAUCUAAUAAUGACGAUAAUAAUAAUGAGAGUCGCGCGCCUGGAUGAGAGAGAGAGAGUUCAUGAACUUUAGUUUUGCGUUUCGCUCUUUUUCUUCUUGUCCUUUUGUUCCGGUCCGUUUUUCACGUCGCGUUUCAUCUCGGCCGCCGCGUUACUUUGGCGCGCGCACUAUGCAGCUCGGCUCGGAUCCGGCGCUCACGUGGCUUCUUUCCGGUGCGUUUGGACCCAACCGGGGGAGGCGCGGGGCCGCGCGGUCAAUCCGUGCGCGCGCCUUUUGGGCACCUUAGGAGACCGAUUUUUUACAUUUUCUUAUUAUUUUUUUUUAAUUAAUAAUAUUUUAUCUUCUGAUCGCGUUUCUUUUUUGCUCUUUUGUUUUUGUCGGGUUUUGGUGACACUUUGAGACUUAAGACUUUGAGACGCGCGCGUGCGUCCGUCCCUGUGUGCAUCCAUCCGUACAUCUUCAUCCAGAUCUGCAUCGCGAGGAGAGGAGAGGAGAACUGCGGAGAAAAGAGGAGACCUGGGGAGAGGAGGAGAAGAAAGGAGAACUGAGGAGAGGAGAGGAGGAGAGGAGAGGAGAGGAGAGGAGAGGAGAGGAGAGGAGACCUGAGGAGAAUCUCUCGGGAAACCGGACGCAGCAGAAAUGGGUCUGUGGGUGUGUGCCAAGAGAUUAGCUUGCCUCCUCUCUCUCCUUGCCUCGUUCCUCCUGCUUCUCUGCUCUGGGGAGAAAACCUGUCCCUACAGCUGCCGUUGUGAGGGGAAAAUCGUCCAUUGUGACUCAGCAUCUUUCAUCGAUGUGCCAGAGAACAUUUCAGUAACUUGCCAGGGUUUGUCUCUGCGAAACAAUGACUUGCACACAAUGCUCCCGUACCAGUUUGCCCAUUUGAACCAGCUCCUCUGGUUGUACCUGGACCACAAUCAGAUCUCGUUCGUGGACAGCCGUGCUUUCCAAGGCGUACGACGGCUAAAGGAGUUGGUCUUAAGCACGAACAGGAUCUCACAACUGCACAAUGCUACGUUCCAUGGUGUGCCAAACCUUCGCAGCCUGGACCUGUCCUAUAACAAACUCCAGGAAUUGCAGCCAGGUCAGUUUCACGGUCUACGGAAGCUACAAAAUCUGCAUCUACGCUCCAACGGGUUAACGACAAUCCCUGUGCGGGCUUUUAUAGAGUGCAGAAGCUUGGAGUUUCUGGAUCUGGGGUACAAUCGACUUCGCGUCCUCACUCGUACCACGUUCUUGGGUUUGUCUCGGCUGAUGGAACUGCACCUGGAGCACAACCAGUUCUCUCGGAUCAAUUUUUUUCUUUUUCCACGCCUUUCAAACCUCCGAGGGUUGUACCUCCAGUGGAAUCGUAUCCGAGCAGUGAACCAAGGCCUCCCCUGGAUGUGGUAUACCCUACAGAAGCUGGACCUGUCUGGCAAUGAGAUCCAGAGCCUGGACCCUGUGGUUUUUCAAUGCCUACCAAAUCUUCAGGUUCUUAACUUGGAGUCUAACAAGCUGGCUAAUGUGUCUCAUGAGACGGUGGCGUCCUGGAUUUCUCUCUCAACAAUCAGCCUCGCAGGGAAUGUCUGGGAUUGUGGGCCGGGCAUUUGUCCUCUCGUCGCCUGGUUAAAGAAUUUUCAUGGAACUAAAGACACAAGUAUCAUUUGCAGCAGUCCGAAACAUCUUCAAGGGGAAAAGGUUAUGGAGGCUACAAAAAAUUAUAUUGAUUGUGAUGAUUUUGAGCUCAUCCCCCAAACACCAUUUCCUCACCACAACUGGGAGUCAAGUAUGGAAACCUCCCCUGAGCCGAUCCUGCCUAUGACAACUCCUGAACUACCCCUGCCUCCAUCCACCUCUGAACCACCCAUCCCACCAAUGUUGGCUCAACCUCUCCCUUAUCCUACAAUCCCUGAAACUAACCCCAGAGACACCCGUCUGAAUACACCACGACCCUCGAACAGCCUGCUGGUGACACCCUCUCCGGAACAAGAAGACUUAUCCUUCCAUAAGAUUGUGGUUGGUGGUGUGGCACUUUUCUUCACAACAUCACUUAUCCUGACGGUGAUAUACGUCUCCUGCAGACGAUAUCCAGGAGCCACGAGGCUGUUGCAGCAGCGCUCAGUGGUUGGACGGAAGCGACGGAAAAAGAGUCCUGAGCCAGAACAGAACCUGAGCUCCCAACUGCAGGAAUAUUACAUGAGCUACAACCCUGCUGCCACACCGGAAGCCAUGGAUGUACUGGCCAAUGGGACUGGUACUUGCACAUGUACCAUAUCCGGCUCCAGGGAAUGUGAGGUAUGACACUGUCAAGGGCAACCUAAAAACAAAUCAAAUCAAAGCAAAUGAAACGGCUCUGGACAGCAGAGAAUGAAUACGUGUGUCCCAGGCCGCUGCCUCGAGCCUGGAUCGGAGACGUUCCUAAAGUUCACUAGCCGGACUUGUAUCUUCAUUUUAUCUACUGAAACAGGGUUCCUGAAAAGAAUUUCCAUCGCAUCGCAUCACAUCGCGUCACACUUCAGCCAUUUCCUUUUGUUCGGAUUGUAGGAGUGUACCAGAGGAGCGAGUGAGCGAGCGAGCAAACAAGUCGUCGUUUCCCAGAAUCCCUCGCUGUGAAGGCAUUUUGUAUUAUAAUGCUCGAGACUGAUUUUUGCAUUCAAAAAAUCUUUUAAUCGCCUGCCAUUUUUUUAAAGGAGCUUCUCAACUACAGCUUUGUGAGACCCAUGAAGGACAACGAGGACAUAGACGAAGUGGAGGAGGAGGAUGAGCAGGAGGUCAUGGAUGGGGAGGAGGACGUGGACGUGGACGUGGACGUGGAAGGCUUCAGUGGUGCCUUUUUGUGCAUUUCGUUCUCGUCAAUUUUUAUCAGUCAGGAAUAAACGUAUUAGAGCAAACGAGCCAAUCAGGAUCGAGGAACAUGGAGAUCAUCUCCUGGAUUUUCCUCUGUAAUCUUUUUCAUCUACGUCAUCAUCAGAAAGAAAUGGAUUUUACUCGCAAUUUUUUCCCCCCGCGCUAUUUAACAAUCUUACGUAUGCGAAUGGUGAUGACCUUGUGAUGACCUUCGUGUGGGAUUUCUAUUCAGUUGGGCGCGAUCUACUUUACAACCUCAGCAUGAACAUGGAGGGUCUGGAACACUUUCACAAUGACUGCAAAUCAAUGUGUGUGUGUGUGCGUGUGUGCGUGUGUGUGUGUGUGUGUGUGUGUGUACAUACUUAUAAGACAAAGGCGUGUGCAUGACAUUCGGAUGUCAACUUGUAGGAAUUUUCUUGUUGGUUUUUCAACUUCUUUACUCCGUGUAAUGUUUCAGCCUGCGUUCACACCAGCGAGCGACAGAAACCACAUCAUUUCAUCCUAAUCUGUACAAUAAACACAGUGCGACUGCAGACGGCUGUGAGGACAAGAGCGAACAGCAGACGGCAAAAUUCAUCUGUUUUCCUCAUAAUGCAUUAUAAUGAUUUUGACUUUGAUAUAAAAAAUUUAUUUAACGAUAAAAAGAAAAAGAAUACAAAUAAUUUUAUAAUUAAUUAAGCAUUUAAAUUAAACAGGUAACGAAUUCAAAUAA